rnacentral:lncRNA from 1 species
UAAUGAGAACUCCUCUACUCCGUGGACGUAGCCAAUCUGGGUGAACCACAUACAUCUUGUGUUUGCUUUCCUGUCUCUAUCCAUUUACAUACUUAUCCACACUAAUGACCUGAGCAAUCUAGCUAAGAUCACAAACUUAAUACUUUCUGUUGUACCAAAGUCCUCACUGCUUUUGUGCAUCAACAAUCCGUAAGUCCUUACCUUUUUGCGUUGGUAAUGGAUGAGUUAAC